CUUACACCUCUGCUCUUUCCUGAUUGUCUCAUCUGGCCUCUGAUACCCAAACGCUAAUCAAUGAUGCACAGCAGGCCAUCAGAACUAGCUGCAGAGGAAAGCAUUCUUCUCUCAAGUUUGGUAGAAAUCACAGAGUCGUUAAGUUUGGAGAAGACCUCUAAGGCCAUCAAGUCCAACAGUCAACCCAUGACCACCAUGCCCACUAACCCAUGUCCCUAAAUAGAAUCACAGAAACUUUAAGGUUGGAAAAGACCUCUAAGAUCAUCAAGUUCAACCUGAAUCCAUCCCCACCAUUCCCAC
rnacentral:lncRNA from 1 species